ACUCACGCACGCACACCGCCGUACACAGCACAAUCGUUCACCGUCCCGCCAAAGGCUCGUCUCUCGGGUUCUGCCUAGUGGAAGGAGUCGGACAACGCCGCACGUCACGGGCGUUUCGGAUUUCUUGCUUCCCAAAGGUUUGACGGCGGCCACCGGCGCCCCGGCCCAGCUCUGCUUUCCUUUGCUGACUCCUUCCUUGAGCUGUCUACCACCACUGCUGCGCUUGUGGAUGACUGCAGGAACACCGGGUACUUGCCACAAGUAUCUCUCCAGAUUCAUCAGCCUUUCACCUGUGACAAGCUCAGUCAAGAAGUGGCUCCUAAGUAAAAGCUGGGGAAGAACAAGGAAGAUAGAGCUC
rnacentral:lncRNA from 1 species